rnacentral:rRNA from 1 species
CGUCGCCACGGGAAUACGAAGGGUGCAAGCGUUACUCGGAAUUACUGGGCGUAAAGCGUGCGUAGGUGGUGGUUUAAGUCCGUUGUGAAAGCCCUGGGCUCAACCUGGGAAUUGCAGUGGAUACUGGGUCACUAGAGUGUGGUAGAGGAUAGUGGAAUUUCCGGUGUAGCAGUGAAAUGCGUAGAGAUCGGAAGGAACAUCUGUGGCGAAGGCGACUAUCUGGGCCAACACUGACACUGAGGCACGAAAGCGUGGGGAGCAAACAGGAUUAGAUACCCCCGUAGUCCCUGUCUCUUAUACC